rnacentral:rRNA from 1 species
AACGAUGAAGCCCAGCUUGCUGGGUGGAUUAGUGGCGAACGGGUGAGUAACACGUGAGCAACCUGCCCCUGACUCUGGGAUAACAGCCGGAAACGGUUGCUAAUACCGGAUAUGCAUCAUGGCCGCAUGGUCUGUGGUGGGAAAGAUUUUUCGGUUGGGGAUGGGCUCGCGGCCUAUCAGCUUGUUGGUGAGGUAGUGGCUCACCAAGGCGUCGACGGGUAGCCGGCCUGAGAGGGUGACCGGCCACACUGGGACUGAGACACGGCCCAGACUCCUACGGGAGGCAGCAGUGGGGAAUAUUGCACAAUGGGCGGAAGCCUGAUGCAGCAACGCCGCGUGAGGGAUGACGGCCUUCGGGUUGUAAACCUCUUUUAGCAGGGAAGAAGCGAAAGUGACGGUACCUGCAGAAAAAGCGCCGGCUAACUACGUGCCAGCAGCCGCGGUAAUACGUAGGGCGCAAGCGUUAUCCGGAAUUAUUGGGCGUAAAGAGCUCGUAGGCGGUUUGUCGCGUCUGCUGUGAAAACCCGAGGCUCAACCUCGGGCCUGCAGUGGGUACGGGCAGACUAGAGUGCGGUAGGGGAGAUUGGAAUUCCUGGUGUAGCGGUGGAAUGCGCAGAUAUCAGGAGGAACACCGAUGGCGAAGGCAGAUCUCUGGGCCGUUACUGACGCUGAGGAGCGAAAGGGUGGGGAGCAAACAGGCUUAGAUACCCUGGUAGUCCACCCCGUAAACGUUGGGAACUAGUUGUGGGGGCCUUUCCACGGUCUCCGUGACGCAGCUAACGCAUUAAGUUCCCCGCCUGGGGAGUACGGCCGCAAGG